CCGCACAACGCAUCCCCCUUCCUCCUCCACGUCGAUCGCGUUGUCUUCUCUCUCACCCUAGGACAAGGGGGACACUACCGCUCCUCUGCCAAUGGCACCGAGUGCUCCCCCACACGAAAGGAGUUGUUCUAAAGACUCCUAUACUUCCCCUACAAGCCUCGGCAGCGACCAUCGUCGAUCUAUGGACCCUGGUGAGUGGAGGUCACAGAUCUACUCCACCGGCGUCGACGAGGUUUGUUUCCCCAUCCUGGAGAAGCAACGACGCAGUAGAUCUUCAUGCACUGCAGUGUCGUCUUCCCCCAAGCCGCAAAGGAAUCGCUCCACUCCAUCCUCGUUCUUUGAAUCGAUGUGGUAAACCUUGGCCAUUCCCCCAAAUCUUCCUGUUGUCCUUCCACCCCCUCGCCUCCAUAACCCCACCCACUGUACCGCCAUUGUUUGUACCACCAUUGUUUCACUUGCUUUCUAUUUAAUCCAUGCUACAUUUGACUGCAAUUCAGUAAAUCGUUAAGUAUAAUCGAAGUCCCAUUGAUUUCUGGUUUUGUAGGACAUUAUGAUCUAUUUUCUUGAUGGUACAUAAACUGAGUUUUUAUAGCUGUUAGAUGCUUGUUGUAUUCGUUUGUUUAGUUCAAACUACAGAGGUUCAACAACAGCAGGCUUAGGGUAUGUGUUGAUCUUAACUCCGUUUUCAUUAGCCCAUUAGAAGUAAUGUGUUAUUUUUUGGUUACAUUAUUAUCGUAUGGCCGUGAAUGGCACCAAUACAUAAUUAGUUGGUACGCACAGACAACUUUGUAAGCCUGACUUGGUGAUAGCUGUGGUAUUUAGUAAUUCACCUUAGUACACAACACUAGCUGUUCAUGCAUUUACUUAUUUGUCAUGAUAUACUCCAAUUAUCCUAGUACAUCUAAAUAAUCUGGUAAGGUAGAUUACAACAUUGAUUUGAGCUAUACACUAACAAACAAAUGUUAUCCAUGUGUAGAGCCUUGUGGUGAAAUACUUGUCACUUGUGUCUGUCAUCUCGUUUGUUGGUUUGUUUAUCUACCUUUUUGCAAGCUCGUCCAAGAGCCGGCCAAAAGCAAGCAAGAAGAGAUGUUGAUUUACUUAUAGUUAUAGGUUGUAGUUUUAGGUGUAGCUGGUGGUUUUGCCCAGAGGAACUCUUGGUAGUUUCAUCUGAGUGAAAGCUUUUAAGUUUACAUUUACUGACCACGCCAUGAACUGCAACGACGUGAGCAUCAGUUUUGAAGGUUUAGCAAACUCUGGCAUUUUCUGACUUUCAUGUUGUCCAUCUUCCAAAUGAAGCCGUUUUGGAGGCAAAUCUAGUUUUAUCUGCUCUCUGUUAUGUCAUUACUAAUUUUGUAUAUUUGUAAGUGUUGUGGCAAUACUGAUUAGUUAUGAUUAUUGAAAAAUAUAAUUUCAUGGAUAUGAUAUACAUAUUUGUCCUUCUUUAAGACACUCUGUUUUUUGUGUGAGUGCAGUGGCAAAUGUUUUUGGUUGUUGGCCAUGAAUUUAUUUAGUAUUUUAUUUGAUCUCAUGAGAUUAGAUACAUCUCUAGAAGCUUUGAAGGAUAUUCCUUAGUCGAUGUGCCCAGAUGAUGGUUUUCUUGACCAGGUGACAUUUGCUAUUCAGCCAUUACUAAGUAACCUUGAAGUAUAAUUUAUUUAGUAUGCUAUUCAGCCUUUACUAAGUAAUCUUGAAGUAUAAUUUAUCUGCAC